GAGUCAGCGGAAGCAACAAAUAUCUGAGUACACACGUUAAACAUGGGGUGCCUUAGAGAAGCCUAGCACAAAGAUACAACGAUCGAACGAGGCGAGGCCUCUUGCGUGGGAACCUCCUAACUACUCCUGAUCUUUAGUGGCCUCCACGUAGUAGUAGGCACCAUCGGGGUAGUAGGCAUCGUCGGCGUGAUACUCCAUCUCUUGGGCUCCAUCAUCUGGUUGCAGCAACGAAUCACGGGGAAAAGGGGGAGCAAAGCAACGGUGAGUACUCAUCCAAAGUACUCGCAAGACUUAUAUCAGAACUAUGCUAAGUAUGCAUCAGUAUAAAGGAACGAGUUUAUGUGGACUGACUGCAGCAAUGAGAGAAUAGAGAGAGAAGGCUAGUCCCAUUGAAGACUAGCAUCUUCAGGGGUCUUGCAACAACAUGCGAGAUUAGAACAUGGGUAACACAAUAAUAGUCAUAUUGUUGUAGCAAUUUUAAUAUGAGGUUACACCCAAAGAUCCUUCCUCGACUCCGUGUGAGGAAGAAAUCCCGGGGCAAACAAUCGAGUUAAGUAACCAUUGUAGUUAUAUAAGAUUGGGACACAACUCCAAAUCAUCGUGUAACCGUGGACAUGGCUAUCUGAAUAAUUUAUUUCUUCCCUGCAGGAGUGCACCACAGUUCCCAACACACUUGAUAAACUCUGACCGGACAUGCUUUCCUCGGUCAUGCCCGGCCUCGGAACAUCAACACGUCGCAGCCCCACCCAAGAUCAAUAGAGAGGCCAGCCCGCCGGUCUAAAUCCUAAGCACAAAGUGUUCGUGGGCCCACUUUCCCUUUGCGCUCCUGCACGAUGCGUGGGCGGGUGAGGUCAGUCCUAGCACCCACUACAAGAAAUAUGUCCGUUUAUGACAAAAAUUUAACGACUGCGGUCAAUUGGUCAUUGAUUUAUGACCAAAAUUUCUAAAAUUGUCAAUGAGUAUCCAAGGAGGUCUAAGGAGGUCCAAACUGUAGAAAAUUGUGACCAUUUUUGGCAAAAUGGUCGUUGUAUCAUAAGAUUAAUUGGUCAUAGAAUGUAUAUCACUAUGAGUGGCCUUACUUUGGAUUCAUCAUGACCAAAUUAAUAAGGUCAUGGGCUUGAAUAAGGGUGACUGGGCAGACACCUCUACAAUUUCGCCUAUGUGUCAUCUAUAUGUGUAGUAAUUUUGUUUAUGUGUCGUGCAUACUUGUCAAUUUAUCAUACGUGUGUAGGACCAACAAAGUAUAUCUACACCUGGCACAUGAGAUGCAGCUGCCUUUGGCAGGACCCAUAUAUGAUGCGUGGGGACCAACUGACAUGCGGGACCUGCUAGCCUAUAGGGCUGACCCGAAAGACAAGGGGGUCUCGGAGAUAGCAUCUUCACGCUGACGCGAGCCGACGAGCUCUAGUUCUGGUCAUUUUACCUUCUUCCUCCUUGGACAACACAAAUCAAGGAGUAGAGUGAGAUUUCCAUAGUUACGAGUGAUUAAUCGAUCAAAAAAGGAGUAUGUUGUGGCUCAACCCCAACUAUUAUUGGCUUCCAUUACGGAGGUCAUUUUAGAUUUGCCCCCUCCACACAUGCCACCGUUGAUUUACUUUUUUGACCUGUGUUCUGUGCAUGUGGCUAGCUUGGGACCGACGACAUGGUAUCACUAUGAGAAAACCUGUUAAUCUAGGAUGGAUUAAUGAUAACAUAAACGGAAGAUAUCAUGGAACAAUUUUUAUCCGUGAAGGUUUCAUAAUUUCAAUCAUCCAUCAAAACUAGGCUCACAAGACACGAGAGUAGGUCCACUAGCAGCCAUCGAGGAAAAAAAAAGAAACCAAAAUCCAAAAAUGGAACCAAUGUGCGCGGAGAAGAAAAUUUUCGAGUGACUUACGCGGCGACGCAAAAUUUUGAGAGCGAGCCCACAAGUACACAACCCAUAUCGGCGCGCCUCUCUAAUCUCUAUCCUGAACUAAAACCCUAUCCAAGUCACGCACUCCCGCAGCCACGCCUUCUCCCUUUGCCCAUCUCUCUCCCAAUCCUUCCCAGCCACCUCCCUCCCCUCGCUAGUCCACAUGCUCACAGCCGUCUCCCUCCCCACUUCGGCACCUGCGGAUGCCAUCUCGUUGCCGAUGCGGCAUGGUCCUCGCACGGAACCAAGAUGGAGCAGCGCGUUUGAAGUAAAAAGUAAAGAACGAGAGAGAUGAAUGAAAA
rnacentral:lncRNA from 1 species